CGUGACCCCGGAGUUGCGCGUGGGGUCGCGGGGCCCUGGGGUCCGUGGGGAUGGCCCCCACCCGCUGCGGGCGCGCUCGCCUGCUCACCCCCCCGCCCCCUCCACCGCCUUCUCCUUCCGCUCUGCGGCGGCAACGACAGCGACUCAAGUCUAGUUUCCCUGACCUGUAACCUCCAGGCGACCCUGCCGAUCAGCCGCGUGACGAAGGAGCAUGGCUUUCUCUGGGAACCGAUGCUGUUGGCAUUUUCCUUGGAGUUUUCCUGAUAAAAUCCUUAAAAACAAAAGCCCCCCAGAAGAACACAGCCCAUGCGGACACCUAGACGUUUAGCCUUAAUGAAUCUCAGUUUGGACUUCUGACCUUCAAAACUGUAAUAUCUUACAUUCAUGGCAUUUUAAGCCAGCUCAGCUCCAGAACCACCCCCUCCAAGUUGUCUUCCUGGAUUUACUCAGCCCAAAGCUAUACUUCUCUUUCCUGGUGAGCGCUCUGACUGGAUCAGCUGAGCAGACUCCCCCAGUGUCCAGGAGUAUCACCGGGUGAAGGAAGGUGGUCCUUCUCCCAGGAGGAGGGUGACUAGUGGAGCCAUGUCCAGAUUUCUUGCUGGAAGUGAAGACCAAACUCCCAGAAAGACCUAAGAGGGCUCAGCAGCCUGAAGAUGGGAACGGUGCUGGUGGCUGACUGCAUCAAUCUGGAUUGGGAAGUUGUGUGGCAGGCAGGCCAUUCGUGAAGUCCUACUUAUACAAGGAACUCAACUGCCAAGUAUUGGAGACUUCGGAUGGAGGGUGAAGUGAACCAGUUUCUGUAAGAGGAGAGAUUCAGCCUCAGGUGGCCAGACUGAUCCAGGAGCUGAGGGCUGCAGGACAGUCCAGAAACGGCCCCUGGGGGAGGCACAGAUGCAAAGCACACGCAGAAAAGCAAGCUAGGAAGGCAGCUGAGCCUCGGAUGUGAACAGGCGACAAUGGCAUCUUCAGAGUGGGCGCAGGUGACCACCUGCUAAUUCUCUCACGGUGGAGAGACCAGCUGCUCAAAGAGUGCAUGGCGCCCAAGGUCACCCUGGAUGCUGACAAGCAACUAACAGAUGGGGAGAGAGGAAGAGUGGAAAAGGCACGUGACCUUCUGAGAUUGGCCUGAGUGUGGCACACGCCCCUUCCACCAACAUUCCGCUGGGCUUGACUGUUUACCAAGGGCCUUAUCCCCUCUCCGUUUCUGUCUUGGGAUCCUCUCCACGCCUCCUGUGACGUCUCUGCUCCUGGGGCCCGGGGAGAUGCUCGAGGUGCUGGGAUGCCAGGCGGCGAGGGGCCGAAACCUGCAGACUACUCAUUUUAAAGAAGGGAAAGCCAUUCUUCGGUGAGAUUUGACCUCAAGCUCACCACGAAAUGGACAGACUGACAGCUGCUGUGCUCCCUGGCGAAGGGAGCUAGGGUCAAGCCCUGCCCGCUGUCUCCUCUGGACCCCAGAGAGGUUCUUCAGUGCCCAGUUGGAAAACUUGCUAUAGUCACUGGAAAAGGAUGUGCAGAUCAACCCUGCCGCAUGGGGGAUACUAGCAUAAAUAAACAGUGGUUUGAAGCACCAGGCACUCCAAAGGGAAUAUUUGCAUCUGAAAAAAUGUUGUCGGUCUCCCCUGUCCCCUCCUAUGCAGCCCCAAGUAGUGAGAGCAGAGGGAAGGAAGUUUGGAAUAGGAGGCUUUUGAGUUGGUCCACAAAUGUAUAUUGCGGUAAUGUUUGUUCACUUUAAAUAAAGGAAAGAAAGCCAUUGUCGUAAUGUCUUCCAGAAUUCCACAGAAGCCCCUUUGGUGUUAUCCUACAGGCAGUCCUGAUAUGCAGAUACAAUGGAAAACUCUUAUGCAGUUUGUCUGGUAAUUGAGUAUGUGGCGCUGCCUGGUUUGGGUCCCAGGGUACCCGGCAUUACCCUGGCAGCUGUUAACGUUCCUGACGAAAUUCAUGGUCAGCUUUAGGCACACACAGAUGCCGAAGGGGGCUACCUGUUGAGAGCAUCUCUACACCACGCCUGCUGGACUGAAACCUGCUGCCUGCCUUGCCUUGGUCUUCUCCUUCCCGCCUCCAACCCCAGUGGACAAGGGAGGGAAAUCUCUCACCCAGAGGAUGCUUGCUAACUCAUCAAGGUGGUCCAGGGAACAAGGCUCAUCUCAGAACUGCAUCCGGAAGACAACCGGCAGUAACCAACAUCUUUUUAAAAACUUGUCAAAGGGAGAAAGAUCUUGAAUUAAGUUUUCAUCAUUAUCCGUCUCAUGGCCCUUUCAUUACGUCUCAUUACCCACCAAUUACCUACAGACUGUCCCUCCUCAAAGGUGUCAAAAGGGGCAGACAGAUAAUGUUGGGAACCCUGCUAUAGACUGAAUGUUUGUGUCUCCCGCAUUCAUAUGUUGAAACCUAAUCCCCAGUGUGAUGGUAUUUGAAAGUGUGGCACUUGGGAGGUGAUUAAAUCAAAAGGGCUCUCACUCUUAUGAAUGGAAUUAGCACACUUAUGAAAGAGAGCCUGGAGACAUCCAGGCUUCCACCAUUUGAGGACACAGCUGGUGAAGAUGGCUGUCUAUGAACUGGGAAGAGGGCCCUCACCAGACACCAGAUCUGCUGGAAUCUUGGUCUUGUUCAGCCUCCAGAAGUGUGAUAAAUAAA